rnacentral:sRNA from 1 species
GCUCGAGCGUCAGCGAGAGAGCGUUGCCGCAGGCAACGACCCGAAGGGCGAAGCGCGCAGCGCUGAGUAAUCCUUCCCCCACCACCA